AUGGGAUUCUCCAGGAAAGAAUACUGGAGUGGGUUGCCAUGCCCUUCUCCAGGGGAUCUUCCUGACCCAGGGAUUGAACCCAGGUCUCUGGCAUUGCAGGCAGAGUCUUUACCACUUGAACUACAGUUUUCCCACAUUCUUGAACUUCAUAUAAAUAUAAAUCUCCAACAGCAUGUUUGUGUGUGCCUGUGUGUAUGGCUCCUUUCUCUCAACAUAUUGUCUUUAGAUUCAUUCUGUCUUUUGACUAUAUUUUCAUGUCAACUGUUUACGAUGUAGUGACUGAGCCACAACAACAAUUCUUCAAGGUUAUUUUUCAGCUGCCCCAGAUGGCAUUGUUUAGUUGUACCACUGCUAAACAGGUCUAUAUUUCCAUGAUGGACAUUUAAAUUUGUUCCAGAAUUUCUUGCUAUAUCCAGUGCUUUGACGCUCAGCCUUAUAUCGAACUCUUUGUAGCCAUCCUUGACUAUUUAUUUGUAGGCCUGUCAGGGACCUGGCAGGCCCUGUGAGAACCAUGAAGGGAGUCGGAUUUCACAACCGAUUGUUUGCAGUAUUUGGAAUGAGUUCUCAAUUUUUUCAUCUCUCACUCUAAAUCACCUUAAAGGGGGGACAGCUGUGGCCCUGCCGAGGGCUCUUUCCUUCUCACCCAAGAACCACCUCAUUAUCUAAAAACGGUCCUCGCCAGCGUCCUCCUUUGGCCAGCAGGGGGCGGCAGAUGCUCGUAAUGUGUGGAGAAAGUCUCGGCCUCCGCGUUUCCCGCCUCCCCUUCCAUCCUUAAAAUAACUCCCCUAACUCCAGCCUUCAAUUCAUUUAAUCCCCAAAUCGCGCCAUUUCAUAGAUGUAGCUGGGGCUCUGACCAAAGUCACACGUUCAAUAAGAAGCAAGAUCAGAAUUCCAACUCCAGGCCAUCCGACUUCGGAGUCCUGGCUCUGGUCUACACCGCUAAAGUCUUCCUGUGAGCGGUUUCGCCGUCCACUUUGUAUAUACAUUGGAGAGACUACAGGUGUAAGUUAGAAUAUCUCCGUCGUUUACCAGACACGUGCUGUCGGGGCGAUUAAUUCAUGUCUCCAGAUCUCAAUUUCCUCAUCUGUGUAAUGGGAUAAUAAUGGUUCCUCCCUCGUGCGUGGUGUAUAUGAGGUUUAAACGAGAUACCACGGGCAAACGCCUAGCUAGCACCUUGAGUGCACUGUAAAUGCGAUUUUGAGCGAAGGAUUUACUGCCACCCGCGGGCACAGCCCCGGGGGAGCCACACCGGGUCCGUCCUGGGCCUCCUCUCCUCGGAUCCUGCCCGGCGCCCGGCGCCCUGCGUUCCCGACCGACCAGAGUCCCGACACCCGCGGGCCGGGCUGCAAGGAGGGGAGGCGUCAGCUGCGAAGGCAGUUCCCGGCGGUAAUUAGCCGGUGUCGGCUCCCGCCUAGCCAGCCGCUAAUUACACGUCUCCUAAUGAGGCCGGCGGCUGUUUGCAAUCACUUGGGUCCCCGCCGCGCUGCGCGGGAGGCCGUGGGGGAAUCCGCCCUCGGGGACGUGGACGGAGGUUGCAGCCCGGGACCACGAGAUCCGCUGGGCGGCGGCGGGGGUGCGCCCCUGCGCGUCUGCUCCGCAAUGUGCUCCUGGCUCAGUCAGUCUUUGGAAUCAUCAUCCCACUUUACAGAUGAGGAAGGGGGCUGAGGCUCGGAAAAGCGAACUCAGGCGCAAAACUCAAGCUGAAAUAGUCUAAUCCAGUGCUCUUAACACGGUUCUCACCAUCAAUUUGCCCUUUUGGAUCAGGCACAAAACAGAGUAUCAGCUCUAGUAAGACCUUUAAAGUUUACUUGGAAAGCACUGCGGUCUUUUCCAAGGAGUCAGUUCUUCGCAUCAAGUGGCCAAAGUA